rnacentral:rRNA from 1 species
UCGCCGCAGUCCAUGGCGUCUGCUAGCUCGUCAAGCAGUCAUCGGUCGCCGCUGUCCAUGGCCUUCUCAGGGCAGUCGCCGGUGCCAUAUCGGGAGCCACCGAUGGCGUACUCGCCUGAGAAGGUGUGCCACUGCAAAGUCAAGGCUCCGAGGUGGAUUUCGUGGAGCAUUGCCAACCCCGGUCGUCGAUACUACAACUGCAGCCAGUCUCUGGGAUAUGACUGUGGCUACUUCAAGUGGCAUGAUGAUCCCCUGGAUAAGUUUGUCAGUACGCUACUAGGUGACCUGCGAGAUGUUGUGAAUCGGCUGAAGACAGGGGUUAGGAAGCUCAAGACCGAGAAAUCACAAUGUGAU